CAUAAAUCAAAGAUAGAAAGGGAAAAGUCUGCUGCAGGAACAUUACUCUGGGCAGAGUUUUUGCAUCAGCCAGGCACGUCCUGUUCAGCUAAGCAAAGGCAGAGACAAAAAUAGAGUACCCUAGCAGUCUGUACUUCCCAGUAAUUGCAGACCCCCAGCAGCCCAGCUGGUUGGCCCAGGCUAGAGGAGAAUGUUUCUCAGUGUUGCAGCUGUGAUGUACAUCUGAGACUUUUAGAUGUGGCAUUUCCUUCCCCUGCUCUGAGGAUGGACAUCACCUGGAGGACACUGAUGCAGUAGAAGAUAACAUACCUGGUUACUUACACAGGAUGAAGAAAAAGAGGAAGAAGAAAGAAGGAAGAUGAAAAGAAGUAAGCAGUGUUCUUUCUGAUGUCUUCAUGUUCUCCUGAAUCAGGGUGAAAAGUUUACUUGCAAGUCUUAAAUUACUUGGGAGCGCAGCAUUAAAGCUAGAUGUAGCAUUAAUGAUAAACGUUAGCUCUCACCAUUCACUAAAGCGUUUCUUCCUGUCCCUUAUUUACUCCUUACCUUCUGAGAGUGUGGGAGUCCAUCUUUCAUUCAAUUAUGGGUCUUCAUCAGCAUGUAGUGAUUGCCCUCUUCACCAAAUAUUCUGAGUGUCUCACUAUGCCUUAAAUGGAUCAAAGACAAUUUUCCCCAUUUUCUGUGUUCUGAAAUGGCUGUUGAGGAGCACAGGAGGAGUGUGUCCCAGCUCCUUCCGAUCAGGUAGCAAUUAACAUACCAAGGACCAUGGCACACAGAACCUAGAGAAUGUGUGAAACCUGAAAAAACAUGGACUAAGGAGCAGAGGAAGUAGAGUGGGUAAUGAAGAAAGGUAAAGUCACAAUAGAAAGGAGUUCUUAAGCUGCUUAGAAAUAUACAUUGUAUUCACCAAAUGAUAUUGGGUCAAAAAAAACCAGAGAGAAUUUUUAAAUUUAAAAUAUUUUGCUUUGACAGUCUUAACACAUACACACGUUUUGGCAGAAAAAAAGUCUAUUCAUCCUGAACUGCAUUUUUCCUGAUGCACUUUUUCCUCAGAUGAGCUACUGAAGAGGAAAAAAGAUGAAUUUCUUCCUGCAGGUCUAGGCUACUCAAGCUGCAGGGAGUUGAAGGUGUACAUCUCCGUUUUGACAUCCUGGAUAUUCCCCAAACACGCUGGGCUGACUUAGUGGCCAUCUGUCUGAAUUGACUGUGUUGUCCCCGGCUCAAAUGACCACCCAGCCUGAACUCUGCAAGGGGGGCUGCCUGGCUGCGGUUAGUUUCUUCCCCAAAUAGCUCUAAAGUGUGGCUUGCUGUGUGCUUUAAGUAAAAUUAUGCUACUGUUCAGUCAUCCACUUGAUUAAAAUGUAUCUUUCAGCAUUUAAGGGUGGGCAGUGACUUCCUGGGAUUAGAAAGGGAAGUGAACUGGCUGGAAAGCAGCAAGGAAAGAAGUUGUUUACGAGUAGUGUGAGGGCAGAGUAGUCUGUGUUGCUGAAAUCUGGGGUUUGGCCACAUUACUCAACUCCAGUUACAGAUCUGCUAAAUUCACUCAGAGUCCCGUUUUCUUUCUUAAUAGUACACACAGGGACAUUUUUACCAGAAGAGUGAUUCAUCUGCUGUGGUAUUCCAGAUAAAUUUCAGGAGAGCAAGGCUCCCUUGGGCUGACAGUGUGAUCAUUUACCGCAGGACAAAUGCCCUCACAGCCUGUCAAGUUGGCUGAACACAGACUUCUCAAGAUUUGGACUUUUUCAACAUGUAAGAUUUCACUCAGCAUAACAAUUUUUCUUCCCAUAACAAACUUUUUGAACAGUUUUGGAAGUCCUUGCGUUCUCACGAUUGCAGCAGUGUGCCAUUCUCCCUGGGCUCCAGCUGCUGGCAGAGAAGCUACAUGCAGGGAUGCUUGUCAAGGAGAGACAUCAAUAUCCACGGGAAGUAAAAGUAUUAUAAACUCGUCAAUAUAGUCACUACUUAACAGGUCUGUGUGAAAUUAUUUAUAGAAAUGGAAGACUUGGCUGUUUUCAAGGCACAAAGGUUGCAGUGGCUUAAUGAAAAAGUGUCGCUCUAGUCUCUGUUUCUGUUUCAAAAAGAAGUAAGUUGAUAAAACAAACCUAUUUCAAGUCUUUUAAUAAGGAAUUGUUUAAAGUGGUCAAAACAUUUGCUUCCUGAAAAAGAUAAGAGCUGAUUUAUUUUUUCUUUUUUUAAUAGACAUGUGUGUAUAUGGUUUAGGAUAUGAAAACAAGGUCUUUACAAACUCCAGAGUCGUUGGAGUGGAGGUAACACCCCCUUACAAGUAGAAGUCAGGACUUCUGGGGUUUGGGCCAGGCUAUGAUACAGACUUGUUUUCUACCAGUAACAAUUGAUAUAAUUUUAUUUUUUCUGUCAGAUGAGUAGGAUAACAUUCUCAGAUGCACUGGAAUCUAAUCAAUUUUUCUAAAACAUCUAAAGAUCUUUGGAUGGAAAAGAGUGUCUGUACAUACUGAGUCUAUAAUUUAUGAAAUUUUGGGUCUGUAUAUUUUCUGGCUCAAUAUAUUUGCAUCUUAACAUCAAGAAAUAAAAUCAAGAACACACCAGUUGAAAAAAAAA